UGUGCGUGUAUUCCCGUCGUCAGGCUCACCUCGGUGCCUGGCACACCAAAGCUGUGGUUCCCGCCGGGGGGACAGCGGCAGGGCUCGCUCCCGCGCCUCAGGGCUCAGCGUUUAUUCCUGCCUGGUUAGUUUUCCUCAGGUAGCAGGUUUGGUUUCCCCCAGCCGAAGGUGGGCCGGGGUGUGAUCCCACUCCCACAAAGGGGCAGGUGGCCCUAGCACAGCAAGGCCCCUGCCCCAAACCACACGUGGAAAAGUUAGGAAAAGUUAACAUGAUGCCCGCUUUCUCCGACUGCAUCUGCCCCAAAGGCUGGAGGCCAAAGUAGGCCCACCUGGGAUGGUAAAAGGGGCUAAUUCAACUCCCUGUUAUUUGGCAGCACCUGAGGUGGGCCUCCCUCUGCACCUUCUCCUCUACAGCUGCCAGGGAGGAACACGCAGCGACCGGGGAGCCGCAGGGAGCCGAGUGUCGGAGAGCGCGGAGGUGGAGGACUUUCAAACAAGUGUCACCCAGCCCUGAAGUAAAACAGGGAGGACAGCAUGGUGGGAACAGGUACAGAAGUCCUGCGGUGGACACCUUGAGUUCGAACAUGACAAAGCUACAGUGCCUGAGGACAGCACUUGGAACCCCUAGCACAACCGCCCCAGCAGCCACUCCGUUUAGCCAUGGGUCUGUGCAUGUCGGGGGGGCCAAUUACAGCUGAACCCGAGUGGGUUCAAUUACACGUCAUGACACUGCAGAACGGAACUGAGUGUCUCGUUCAAUGUUGAAGGAACGUUUUCGUGUGGAAGUCUGGAAGUCACUGCUGGCUGUGCUGAAGCUGAGAAAUGAAGUAUGGUGAUGGUCUUCUCUGGGCAACACUGUGAUGUAUGGGGAUAUAGUGAAAUAAGCUAAUCUUUAUCUUUUUUUUCAGAGCUA